rnacentral:lncRNA from 1 species
CCUGUUUGCCAUUGCAAAGUUGUUAACCCCAGAGUCUUCUGGCUGCCGCUGCCUCCUCUGCUUUGAAUCGUCUGUGGAUAUUUUUCCGAUUUUUCCCAAACGCCCACAGAUCCUGGGGGAAGCCACCCCAUUCAGCUACCGAUCAUGGAAGAAAGUAUUACUUUUUAUUUACCAAAUAUUUUAAAGAUGUUUGAAGAUCCAUAUGCUGCAUGGAGGCUGUUGUUUCUAGGGACACAAGUAUCCAGCCUAUAUUGUUACAAUAAUUUUUCAAGAACUGGCUUCUUCUUUGCCCACACUGAUGGAAGUGAGGGGGUCCAGACCUGAGGAAUAGCUGGACACUCCAACCAGUUCUCCAGGGAGAAGCAAUAGUUGACUGCCUAAUGAACGCCCCGUUUAGCUGGAAGACUAGCCCUCCAUUAACUCUUCAGCUGUAAGUUAUUUUGAUGCCCUUGAGAGUGUCUUGUACAAAUUGUAUUAAAUUUACUAGUUUAAAAACUAAUUCUUCUUUAUAUUUUUAUUUAGUUUACAAAUUUGUCCUAUUUAUAAACCUUGCGAGUUUUAGAAAUCAUGCUCCUUUAAAUAAUAUUUGGUCUCUAACCUUAAACACCUCCUAGCAUUUUAAGUGGUAUUUAUAAAUUUACUGCAUUCUAUUUCUUUCUUGGGUACUUCGUAAAUAUUUUCAAGACU